rnacentral:rRNA from 1 species
GACGAACGCUGGCGGCGUGCUUAACACAUGCGAGUCGAACGGAAAGGCCCUGCUUUUGUGGGGUGCUCGAGUGGCGAACGGGUGAGUAACACGCGAGUAAAAUGCACUUGUCUUUGGGAUAACUUCACGGAAAUGGGGCUCAUACAGGAUAGGAGAUCCUGCUGCGUGGUGGGGGUUAGAAAGUGUCGGCGGUUGGGGCUCGACUAGAGGCUUAUGCGCUUGUUGGUGGGGUAGUGGAUUACCAAGGCUUUGACGGGUAGCCCGCCUGAGAGGGUGACCGGCGUCCAUGGGACUGCGGUACGGCCCAGACUCCUACGGGAGGCAACAGUGGGGAAUAUUGCACAAUGGGCGGAAGCCUGUUGCAGCAACGCCCCGUGCGUGAUGACCGCCUUCGGGUUGUAAACCGCUUUCGCCUGUGACGAAGCGGGAUUGACGGUAAUGGGUAAAAAAGCACCGGCUAACUACGUG